AACGAACGCUGGCGGCAGGCCUAACACAUGCAAGUCGAGCGAGACCUUCGGGUCUAGUGGCGGACGGGUGAGUAACGCGUGGGAACGUGCCCUUUGCUACGGAAUAGCCCCGGGAAACUGGGAGUAAUACCGUAUGUGCCCUUCGGGGGAAAGAUUUAUCGGCAAAGGAUCGGCCCGCGUUGGAUUAGGUAGUUGGUGGGGUAAUGGCCUACCAAGCCGACGAUCCAUAGCUGGUUUGAGAGGAUGAUCAGCCACACUGGGACUGAGACACGGCCCAGACUCCUACGGGAGGCAGCAGUGGGGAAUCUUAGACAAUGGGGGAAACCCUGAUCUAGCCAUGCCGCGUGAGCGAUGAAGGCCUUAGGGUUGUAAAGCUCUUUCAGGUGGGAAGAUAAUGACGGUACCACCAGAAGAAGCCCCGGCUAACUCCGUGCCAGCAGCCGCAGUAAGAC
rnacentral:rRNA from 1 species